rnacentral:rRNA from 1 species
AAUGCUUAGGAAUCUGCCUAUUAGUGGGGGACAACAUUCCGAAAGGAAUGCUAAUACCGCAUACGUCCUACGGGAGAAAGCAGGGGAUCUUCGGACCUUGCGCUAAUAGAUGAGCCUAAGUCGGAUUAGCUAGUUGGUGGGGUAAAGGCCUACCAAGGCGACGAUCUGUAGCGGGUCUGAGAGGAUGAUCCGCCACACUGGGACUGAGACACGGCCCAGACUCCUACGGGAGGCAGCAGUGGGGAAUAUUGGACAAUGGGGGGAACCCUGAUCCAGCCAUGCCGCGUGUGUGAAGAAGGCCUUAUGGUUGUAAAGCACUUUAAGCGAGGAGGAGGCUACUGAGACUAAUACUCUUGGAUAGUGGACGUUACUCGCAGAGUAAGCACCGGCUAACUCUGUGCCAGCAGCCGCGGUAAUACAGAGGGUGCGAGCGUUAAUCGGAUUUACUGGGCGUAAAGCGUGCGUAGGCGGCUUUUUAAGUCGGAUGUGAAAUCCCCGAGCUUAACUUGGGAAUUGCAUUCGAUACUGGGAAGCUAGAGUAUGGGAGAGGAUGGUAGAAUUCCAGGUGUAGCGGUGAAAUGCGUAGAGAUCUGGAGGAAUACCGAUGGCGAAGGCAGCCAUCUGGCCUAAUACUGACGCUGAGGUACGAAAGCAUGGGGAGCAAACAGGAUUAGAUACCCUGGUAGUCCAUGCCGUAAACGAUGUCUACUAGCCGUUGGGGCCUUUGAGGCUUUAGUGGCGCAGCUAACGCGAUAAGUAGACCGCCUGGGGAGUACGGNCGCAAGACUAAAACUCAAAUGAA